ensembl:lncRNA
GGAGAGGUCUCACCUCUCACCAAGAUGCACCCAGAGCCUAUCAGAUGAGUCUCUUCUCCCCAAUGGACUAUGCGUCUUUCUUUCUGGCUCUUUUAGGUGGCUUAUCAAAACAGCACCUGUCCCUGCCAUGUGCCCCAUCCGACACAAGGAGGCGGUGGUGAGCUGAGACCUCACUGCCCAAGCAGUCCAGGUGUUCAUCUAAGGUGAGGAAGUGACCGGAGGCCCUGGUUUCUCAUUGGAUAUUUACCAGAUAAAGCAGCUGGAUUGAGGCUGAAGAAGAACUUACAAGCACCCCGUCUGGGCUGCUCAUUCGCAUCCUGGUCACCUGCUGCCCUGGUCUAAGACAACAGGAGAAAUGGUGCCGUACUCACAGAGUCAGACUUCUCUGCAAAGUGAAAAUACCUUUAUGAUGAUUAUAAAAGUAAUGCAUUCUCGUUAAAAAAGGAAAGUCAACAAAAGGAGCCUAAAGAAGAAACUUUUAGAAAUCACCAGAACCCCACUUUGAGCCAAUCUCUAGCACUGGACAUUUGGGUUGUUGACAAAUGUCAUUAAAAAUGAUACCUUCAUGUAAAUGCUUAUUUAUAAACCUUGGCUGACCGUCCUAAUCAUUUCUCAGGAUAAAUUUUCUGUGAGAGCAACAAAUUAG